CAUGUGUUCGAUAUUUUGAUCAUGUCCCUGAAUGAUUGAUUGAUCGAAGUCAAUUUUGAUGAAUUAAUCACUUCACAUUUUAUCUGAUUCCUCUAUUCAGUCAAGUGAUCAUAAGUACAUUGAUCACUUGAUAGGAUUAUAUCUCUGAACUUGCAUCAUAAUGGAUUCCAAGUCAAACACAAGCUCAAGACAUCAUCAUGCAAGACUCUAAAGACUUUAGGCAUCAAGCACAUUAAAAAGAUUCACCGUCAACACUUAUCAGUCAUGAUGAGAAUUGUGCGCCACAAACCUUAAGCAAUAGAGAAAAAUGAUAGGGAUUAUUCCUACCCUUGUUCUGAGUAUCUUUGGGUACGGGGUGUAGGCCCCAGUUAUUCAAAGUAUACGCCUUUGUUCAUAAACUUUAGUGUUAUUCAAAUUGAAUAGUUGUCGAGUCUUCUUCUCCACAGGCAACAUCUCAAUAUUGCAACAAUCUUCAUCAACAAUGCAUUUCCCUUUGGACCAAACAUAAAUUCUCUUUGACAUCCAUACAUUCUCUGGGUUAAGCACCUUAGGUUCAAACACCCAUAUAUGCAAACCCUUUUCUUUUAUUUUUCCCAAUAGAGCAUCAUGCUCUUGCAACUCUUAUGCAUUGUCCUAUAGAACCUCAUGCUCUGGCAACUCUCAUGCAUUUCUUUGUGUAGCUUCAUGCUCUAUAAACUUUCAUGCAUUUCCUUAUGGAGCCUCAUGCUCUGGAAAACCUCACGCAUUUCCCUAUUGAGCUUCAUACUCUGGAAACCCCCUUCUUGUAGGUCUUGAUCCUUGGAUUUAGGCUAAAUUCUACAACCUUGCAUUGGCCACACUAUCUAUUGGUUAAUGCCAUACACUCUUUGGUUUAUAUACAUUUACCCUAUGGUUUCAAAUAGCACAACCUUUUGUCCAAGCAAUACUUUCACAACAUACACAUAACACUUUCCUCAUUUCACCAUUUCUUUUACACUUCAAGAAAUUAUGUUUCAAUUCAAGCAACUUUCCCUAUUUCUCUUUCUUUUCAUAUUCAAUCAACUCUUUCUUUUUUAUUGCACAAACCUUUUUUAAAAUAAUUUUCUUUUUUUUUCUCCAUAAAAUAACUAUUAUAAUCAGUUCCUUAGCAGUCAAAGUAUAAACUUAGAGCAUCCGAGCAAGGAUCAAAAUUAACUAACGUCUAUACACUUUUAGGAUACGAUUAUAAUUGUUCCCUAAAAUCAACAAAAAAAUCUGUGUUUUCUACCACAAACGACGGAGCUGUGAUUUUCUCACUGCACUAUGAGAAUACGUAGGCACGAGAGUCCGAAUCCUUGGCAAGCACACUUAUUAUUAAACUUAUUUUUCCUUUUCGCAAGUAACCUUUAGAUAAUAACACAUAUUCGUGCAGAGAACAAUCAAAAUGGUUCCCGUUGAGUAUAACGGACGUGAUGAGUGCUAAUACCUUCCCUUGUAUAACUGACUUCCUUACCCUUUUUCUUUUUCCUUUGGGUUUUAUCGAUAUUUUCCCUUUCCUUAGGAAUAAAUAAAGUUCGGUGGGGACUUUGUUGUAUCUUCGAGCGUGCGAUGCACUCAAGUAUUUUUCGCGGGCCUAAUGAGCAUACAAGACAAGGAGGGAUCAAAGACAAGUAAAAGAAGGCAAAACGAAAAAAAAAAGAUUUUUUUCCAUAGUAAAAUCGGGGGGUUACUACGGACACCCGUAGGAGCAAAGCAUGUCAGGGUUCCCUUUGAAAGCCUUCCUAGUACAAAAGACAGAGGCCUGCUACGAGAAACUGUAGUAGCUGCUACGGUCGUAGCAGGAGGGAGAGGAAGAUUUUUUUUUCCUUAUUUGGAUUAUUUCUCUUUUAUUGUGGCUCUUAGGCAAUAUUUGACAGAAUGCAAAUUUGAUUGAAUAAUUUUAAACCAAGGAUUUUGUGCAAUUUUACUUUUUUCUAUAAAAAUCAUAGUUUGUCAUGA